rnacentral:rRNA from 1 species
UACGUAGGGUGCAAGCGUUGUCCGGAAUUAUUGGGCGUAAAGAGCUCGUAGGCGGUUUGUCGCGUCUGCUGUGAAAACGCGAGGCUCAACCUCGCGCCUGCAGUGGGUACGGGCAGACUAGAGUGCGGUAGGGGAGAUUGGAAUUCCUGGUGUAGCGGUGGAAUGCGCAGAUAUCGGGAGGAACACCGGUGGCGAAGGCGGUUCUCUGGGCCGUGUACUGACGCUCAUGCACGAAAGCGUGGGGAGCAAACAGG